GACGAACGCUGGCGGCGUGCCUAAUACAUGCAAGUCGAGCGGAACUUAGAAAGCUUGCUUUCUAAGUUUAGCGGCGGACGGGUGAGUAACACGUGGGCAACCUGCCUAUAAGACUGGGAUAACUUCGGGAAACCGGAGCUAAUACCGGAUAAUAUAAAAGAUCACAUGGUCUUUUAUUGGAAGAUGGCUUCGGCUAUCACUUAUAGAUGGGCCCGCGGCGCAUUAGCUAGUUGGUGAGGUAAUGGCUCACCAAGGCGACGAUGCGUAGCCGACCUGAGAGGGUGAUCGGCCACACUGGGACUGAGACACGGCCCAGACUCCUACGGGAGGCAGCAGUAGGGAAUCUUCCGCAAUGGACGAAAGUCUGACGGAGCAACGCCGCGUGAGCGAUGAAGGCCUUCGGGUCGUAAAGCUCUGUUGUUAGGGAAGAACAAGUAUCGUUCGAAUAGGGCGGUACCUUGACGGUACCUAACCAGAAAGCCACGGCUAACUACGUG
rnacentral:rRNA from 1 species